GCCUGGCGGCGAUAGCGCGGUGGUCCCACCUGACCCCAUGCCGAACUCAGAAGUGAAACGCCGUAGCGCCGAUGGUAGUGUGGGGCUUCCCCAUGUGAGAGUAGGGAACUGCCAGGCA
rnacentral:rRNA from 1 species